GCGGCGGUAGCUCAGUGGUAGAGCGUCAGCUUCCCAAGCUGAGGGUCGCGGGUUCAAAUCCCGUCCGCCGCU
rnacentral:tRNA from 1 species